AUGGCAACUGGGAACAGCCCCUUCCUUUUUCCUUAGCAACAGGGUAACAGUUCCUCCACCCUGACUCGUCCAAGAAGGAACAAGCCUUUACUUCCCGAUCCCGUCGUAGCGGGAUGAUGGGGUCUUUCUUACCGGUUCAGCAAAGGCAAAAAGAAGAGACUACUUCUUCUCUUUGGCCGAUAUGGAAGGACUGAAGCCGGGUUUGAUGGCCUCUCUUGCUUUAUGGCUUCCAGUUGCAGUCUGUUACUCAAAUCUUUACCUCAGUCAAGCAUCCCUUUGAGCCUCCCGCGAGGAAGCCCGCACCUUUACCCCGAAGUCGAGCUAACAGAAUGGGCAUUGAUACACAUAUUUGAGGGUUUUGUUUAUUUGCCGCUGAUGUUGAUUGAGACAGGUCCUCCGAGCAGCCUGGUAAAUUACAGGCUCACACCUAUAAUUCUAGAACUUGGGUGGUGGAAUCAGGAGGGACUGCCAAAAGUUCAAGGUCAUUCCUGGGCCACAGAGUGACAUCCUCUCUCGGCAACAACAAAACAAAAACAAAAACAAAAGACAGGGACUCUUUUCUGUAGCCUGGUGGCCUUGAACUCACCAUCUUUGAUCUGCUAUCCCUUGAGUAUUGGCCAACCAUAUAGUCCCUUUCCCAGUGCAUUUGCUGACAGCUCUUGUUCCUCCCCCUGGCCCACUAGCUGGUGUAGAUUCUGUUCUUCACAGCCAGGUCCUUCUUUGACAUACCCAUUCACGUUCCCAAAUUCCUUGUUCCAAGUCUGCUUUGAGGGAGCUCCUCAGUUUGGGAUACAUCAUCUCCUUCCUCCCAACGCCUGCAGUCCUUGGCCCACACUGCUCUCUCCAGGGCCUUGUGCUUAACACCAUUGAGAUUUCAUGGUUCUCUUUGUGCAGGGGUCUUCUGUCUCCCCAUCACCCAGCCCUGACUCCCACGGAUGGUCACCUCUGAACCCACCUCGUAUCCACCUUCUUUGUUACACGCAUCUUACAGCGCCAUCCUUUGUUUACACUUCUGUCUCCCUAGCCAGACUAUGCAUCCUGGUGGGCAGGAAUUCUGUCUUAUUCAUCAGCCUCCUCGGCAUCUGGCAUCACGCACGGAAUGUGACACAUAGAAGAAUCCCACGAGCUGUGUAUGUAAUUGACUCAAGCAAGACAAAGGUCCUUCCCAUGUCAAUGCCGCUCCACACCUAUGAAAAUAACUACUUGGAGUUGCACGAGCUAGCAGCUGUUUCACGGCUGAGACUUAAGCUGUGGGGUGCUCUCUCCUCAGGUUUAUCAAGCUGGACACUUAGAUCUUGGAAGUUGUUUGUCUGUCUUACACUUAAACAUUUGAGAAAAAGACGUCGAGGAAACAGAAUGUCUUGCAUACAGGGUUGUUCCAUAAACUUAACUCUGCCUCCCUCCUCCUUCUUCUUCUUAAAUUUCCUCGUACAGUUUUCUAAAGCAAUGAUCUCAUUUCAUCAUUAAGCUAGACAGCCAAAGGACAUCCAAAUAUUCCCUACACUUAUCUCCUGGAGGACAAAACCGACCCUGGCUGGGAGCCACUGGGCUGGAUGAGCAACUUCAGUCCGAGGGUAUAGAAGGGAACCCCACUUUGCUCACGCCAAGUAAUCCAGUAUGAUUCCCCAAAGCAAUGGCUUUGCUUGAUGAACAGAACUGGGAUACCAGUUCUCAGGACCAUGCCGCCAGAUGAACGUGUUGUAUCCGAAGAACAGAAUUACAAAUGGAAGGCAGCAUUCCUUUAUUGCCUCUGGUACCAAUUCCUGGGAGUUUCACAGCCACAGUGCAGGUGUCAAGGAGGAAUUACAAAGUGUUCCGAGGAAAGACAUCACUAGGCCACGUCGCAGAUGGUUUACUCAUGGAGACCUGUUGUACAUCUGAACAGCAGUCCCACAUAGCAACUCUUAAGAUACCCACAAUGGGCCUGAAGUUCCUCUUCUGGGCCACCAGGAAUUCUUUCAGAUGACCCACUACCACAAGAGCAGACCUUGCCCAGACCUCCCGGGCAAGGUCUGGGCUGCCACCGGAUCAGAGUGAUGGAUCAAAGCUGUUUCUCCUAGCAACCGAAGCGCCACACAGCCGCUGUCUGUUGAGGAGGCUUUUCUGCCGGGCUCCUUCUUGAAUAAACACAACAGAGGCCGAG